AUUGAACGCUGGCGGCGUGCUUAACACAUGCAAGUCGAACGAGAACGGGUUAUAGCUUGCUAUAAUUGUCAGCUAAGUGGCGCACGGGUGAGUAAUGUAUAGGUAAUAUGCCUCUUACUAAGGGAUAACAAAUGGAAACGUUUGCUAAUACCUUAUACUCCUUAUUAACAGAAGUUAAUAAGGGAAAGAUUUAUUGGUAAGAGAUUAGCCUGUAUUGUAUCAGUUAGUUGGUGGGGUAAUGGCUUACCAAGACUAUGACACAUAACUGGUUUGAAAGGAUGAGCAGUCACACUGGAACUGAGACACGGUCCAGACUCCUACGGGAGGCAGCAGUGGGGAAUAUUGCACAAUGGACGAAAGUCUGAUGCAGCAACGCCGCGUGGAGGAUGACACAUUUCGGUGCGUAAACUCCUUUUAUAUGAGAAGAUAAUGACGGUAUUAUAUGAAUAAGCACCGGCUAACUCCGUGCCAGCAGCCGCCGUAAUAC
rnacentral:rRNA from 1 species